rfam:Valsa mali strain 03-8 chromosome 2, whole genome shotgun sequence.
GGAGUGAUAGCUCAGCGGUAGAGCAACGGAUUGCAGCUCCGUAGGUCGCCGGUUCAAAUCCGACUCACUCCU